rnacentral:rRNA from 1 species
GCCAAUAAUGCAAGUCGAACGCUUUUUCUUUCACCGGGGUUUGCUCCACCGAAAGCCCCCCGAAAGGGAAACGGGUGAGUAACACCUGGGUAACCUGUGCAUAUAAAAGGGGAUAACCCUUGGAAACUGGUGGUAAUACCGUAUAACCCUAUGUUCCGCAUGGAAAAAAGUUGAAAGGCUGUUUUGCGUCACUGAUGGAUGGACCCAUGGUGUAUUAGCUAGUUGGAGAGGUAACCGCUCACCCAGGCCACGAUCCAUAUCCGACCUGAGAGGGUGAUCGGGCACCUUGGAACUGAGACACAGUCCAAACUCCUACAGGAGGCAGCAAUCGGGAAUCUUCGGCAAUGGACGAAAGUCUGACCGACCAACGCCGCGUGAGUGAAGAAGGAUUUCGGAUCUCAAAACUCUGUUGAUAGAGAAGAACAAAGUUGAUAGUAAAAUGUUCAUCCCUUGACGGUAUCUAACCAGAAAGCCACGCCUAACUACGUGCCAGCAGCCGCGGUAAUACGUAGGGGGCAAGCGUUUUCCGGAUUUAUUGGGCGUAAAGCGAGCGUUCGCGGUUUCUUAAGUCUGAUGUGAAAGCCCCCGGCUCAACCGGGGAGGGUCAUUGGAAACUGGGAGACUUGAGUGCAGAAGAGGAGAGUGGAAUUCCAUGUGUAGCGGUGAAAUGCGUGGAUAUAUGGAGGAACACCAAUGGCGAUCGCGGCUCUCUGGUCUGUAACUGACGCUGAUCUCGUAGUUCAUGAGUCACGC